rnacentral:rRNA from 1 species
UGAGGUUAAGUUAGGAAGGGCGCACGGUGGAUGCCUUGGCACUAGGAGCCGAAGAAGGACGGGACUAACACCGAUAUGCUUUGGGGAGCUGUACGUAAGCGUUGAUCCAGAGAUUUCCGAAUGGGGGAACCCACUAUCUUUAGUCGGAUAGUAUCCUUAUGCGAAUACAUAGCAUAAGGAAGGCAGACCCAGGGAACUGAAACAUCUAAGUACCUGGAGGAAGAGAAAGAAAAAUCGAU